rnacentral:lncRNA from 1 species
AGGGACCCAAUAAUGGCUUUGCACAUGCUUGUGAAUGGUGGGUCUGGCUUAACUAAGAAGUACGGACAAUAACUGUUAGGUGAGUUUACAUGAUUUAGAGACCAAGUGGCUGCAACAUGCUUAGAGAAGCAUCUGGAUAAAGAGUUGUCCAUGCAUCGAUGUUUAUUUGUAUUAUCAAUAACUGUUAGGUGAGGUGCAC